rnacentral:rRNA from 1 species
CGCAGCCGCGGUAAUUCCAGCUCCAAUAGCGUAUAUUAAAGUUGCUGCAGUUAAAAAGCUCGUAGUUGAAUUUCGGGACCAAUAUGUCGGUCGUGCUUCGGUACGCACUGGCUUAUUGGUUUCUCCCUUCUGACGAACCAUGAUGUCAUUUAUUUGGUGUUAUGGGGAAUCAGGACUGUUACUUUGAAAAAAUUAGAGUGUUUAAAGCAGGCUCACGCUUGAAUACAUUAGCAUGGAAUAAUGAAAUAGGACGUUUGAUUCUAUUUUGUUGGUUUCUAGGAUCGACGUAAUGAUUAAUAGGGAUAGUUGGGGGCAUUAGUAUUCAAUUGUCAGAGGUGAAAUUCUUGGAUUUAUUGAAGACUAACUACUGCGAAAGCAUUUGCCAAGGAUGUUUUCAUUAAUCAAGAACGAAAGUUAGGGGAUCGAAGACGAUCAGAUACCGUCGUAGUC